UUCCAUCUUCGGGGCAGGGUGAAAUUCCCGACCGACGGUAAAAAGCAUGAGUGCUUAAGUCCGUGACCCGCAAUUUUUUAUUGUGGUUGAUCUGGUGCAAGUCCAGAACCGACAGUUACAGUCUGGAUGGGAGAAGAUGUCG
rnacentral:ncRNA from 1 species